GAUGAACGCUGGCGGCGUGCCUAAUACAUGCAAGUCGAGCGAACAGACGAGGAGCUUGCUCCUCUGAUGUUAGCGGCGGACGGGUGAGUAACACGUGGAUAACCUACCUAUAAGACUGGGAUAACUUCGGGAAACCGGAGCUAAUACCGGAUAACAUGUUGAACCGCAUGGUUCAACAGUGAAAGACGGUCUUGCUGUCACUUAUAGAUGGAUCCGCGCCGCAUUAGCUAGUUGGUAAGGUAACGGCUUACCAAGGCAACGAUGCGUAGCCGACCUGAGAGGGGGAUCGGCCACAUGGGAACGGAGACACGGUCAAGACUCCUACGGGAGGAAGAAGUAGGGAAUCUUCCGCAAUGGGCGAAAGCCUGCCGGAGCAACGCCGCGUGAGUGAAGAAGGUCUUCGGAUCGUAAAACUCUGUUAUUAGGGAAGAACAAAUGUGUAAGUAACUAUGCACGUCUUGACGGUACCUAAUCAGAAAGCCACGGCUAACUACGUG
rnacentral:rRNA from 1 species